CGACCGGCGCACGGGUGCGUAACGCGUAUACAAUCUACCUUGUAGAGGGGGAUAGCCCGGGGAAACCCGGAUUAAUACCCCAUAGUAUUAGGGAAUAGCAUUAUUUUCUGAUUAAACAUUUAUGGCUACAAGAUGAGUAUGCGUCCUAUUAGUUAGUUGGUAAGGUAACGGCUUACCAAGACCGCGAUAGGUAGGGGUCCUGAGAGGGAGAUCCCCCACACUGGUACUGAGACACGGACCAGACUCCUACGGGAGGCAGCAGUGAGGAAUAUUGGACAAUGGGCGGGAGCCUGAUCCAGCCAUGCCGCGUGCAGGAAGACGGCCCUAUGGGUUGUAAACUGCUUUUAUACGGGAAGAAACACUCUGACGUGUCAAAGCUUGACGGUACCGUAAGAAUAAGGAUCGGCUAACUCCGUGCCAGCAGCCGCGGUAAUACGGAGGAUCCAAGCGUUAUCCGGAAUCAUUGGGUUUAAAGGGUCCGUAGGCGGGACAAUCAGUCAGCGGUGAAAGUCUGUGGCUCAACCAUAGAAUUGCCAUUGAUACUGUUGUCCUUGAGUGUUUAUGAAGUGGUUGGAAUAUGUAGUGUAGCGGUGAAAUGCAUAGAUAUUACAUAGAACACCGAUUGCGAAGGCAGAUCACUAAUAAAAUACUGACGCUGAUGGACGAAAGCGUAGGUAGCGAACAGGAUUAGAUACCCUGGUAGUCUACGCCGUAAACGAUGGUUACUAGCUGUUCGGUCGCAAGACUGAGUGGCUAAGCGAAAGUGAUAAGUAACCCACCUGGGGAGUACGUUCGCAAGAAUGAAACUCAAAGGAAUUGACGGGGGCCCGCACAAGCGGUGGAGCAUGUGGUUUAAUUCGAUGAUACGCGAGGAACCUUACCAGGGCUUAAAUGUAGCUUGACCGAUUUGGAAACAGAUCUUUCGCAAGACAAGUUACAAGGUGCUGCAUGGUUGUCGUCAGCUCGUGCCGUGAGGUGUCAGGUU
rnacentral:rRNA from 1 species